rnacentral:rRNA from 1 species
AUGUUGGUUUGGUUUGGGUUGCUUCUCAGGAUGUCGAGUUUUCGCCGUGUUUUCUCUUUCUGGGCAAACAAGAUACCAGAAGAAUGGAGACAGAGUAUAUUAGUACCAAUCUUCAAGAACAAAGGGGAUGUUCAGAGUUGUACUAAUUACCGUGGAAUUAAGCUGAUGAGCCAUACAAUGAAGCUUUGGGAGAGAGUCAUUGAGCACCGCUUAAGAAGAAUGACAAGCGUGACCAAAAAAUCAGUUUGGUUUCAUGCCUGGGAGGUCGACCAUGGAAGCCAUUUCUUGGUACGACAACUUAUGGAGAGAUAUAGGGAGCAAAAGAAGGACUUGCAUAUGGUGUUCAUUGACUUGGAGAAGGCCUAUGAUAAGAUACCGCGGAAUGUCAUGUGGUGGGCCUUGGAGAAACACAAAGUCCCAGCAAAGUACAUUACCCUCAUCAAGGGCAUGUACGAUAAUGUUGUGACAAGUGUUCGAACAAGUGAUGCCGACACCGAUGACUUCCAGAUUAAGAUAGGACUGCAUCAGGGGUCAGCUUUGCGCCCUUAUCUUUUUGCAUUGGUGAUGGAUGAGGUCACAAGGGAUAUACAAGGAGACAUCCCAUGGUGCAUGCUCUUUGUGGAUGAUGUGGUGCUAGUUGACGAUAGUCGGACGGGGGUAAAUAGGAAGUUAGAGUUAUGGAGACAAACCUUGGAAUCGAAAGGGUUUAGGCUUAGUAGAACUAAAACCGAGUACAUGAUGUGCGGUUUCAGUACUACUAGGUGUGAGGAGGAGGAGGUUAGCCUUGAUGGCCAGGUGGUACCCCAGAAGGACACCUUUCGGUAUUUGGGGUCAAUGUUGCAGGAGGAUGUGGGUAUUGAUGAAGAUGUGAACCACCGAAUCAUAGCCGGAUGGAUGAAGUGGCGCCAAGCUUCUGGCAUUCUCUGUGAUAAGAGAGUGCCACAAAAGCUAAAAGGCAAGUUCUACAGGACGGCGGUUCGACCCGCAAUGUUGUAUGGCGCUGAGUGUUGGCCGACUAAAAGGCGACAUGUUCAAUAG